rnacentral:rRNA from 1 species
CACUUUAAGUUGGGAGGAAGGGCAGUAAGUUAAUACCUUGCUGUUUUGACGUUACCGACAGAAUAAGCACCGGCUAACUCUGUGCCAGCAGCCGCGGUAAUACAGAGGGUGCAAGCGUUAAUCGGAAUUACUGGGCGUAAAGCGCGCGUAGGUGGUUCGUUAAGUUGGAUGUGAAAGCCCCGGGCUCAACCUGGGAACUGCAUCCAAAACUGGCGAGCUAGAGUAUGGUAGAGGGUGGUGGAAUUUCCUGUGUAGCGGUGAAAUGCGUAGAUAUAGGAAGGAACACCAGUGGCGAAGGCGACCACCUGGACUGAUACUGACAC